AUUGAACGCUGGCGGCAUGCCUUACACAUGCAAGUCGAACGGUAACGGGCCUUCGGGUGCCGACGAGUGGCGAACGGGUGAGUAAUGUAUCGGAACGUACCUUUCAGUGGGGGAUAACGUAGCGAAAGUUACGCUAAUACCGCAUAUUCUGUGAGCAGGAAAGCAGGGGAUCGCAAGACCUUGCGCUGAUUGAGCGGCCGAUAUCAGAUUAGCUAGUUGGUGAGGUAAAGGCUCACCAAGGCGACGAUCUGUAGCGGGUCUGAGAGGAUGAUCCGCCACACUGGAACUGAGACACGGUCCAGACUCCUACGGGAGGCAGCAGUGGGGAAUUUUGGACAAUGGGGGCAACCCUGAUCCAGCCAUGCCGCGUGAGUGAAGAAGGCCUUCGGGUUGUAAAGCUCUUUCGGCCGGGAAGAAAUCGCAUAGGCUAAUACCCUGUGUGGAUGACGGUACCGGAAUAAGAAGCACCGGCUAACUACGUG
rnacentral:rRNA from 1 species